rnacentral:rRNA from 1 species
GAUGAACGCUGGCGGCGUGCCUAAUACAUGCAAGUAGAACGCUGAAGGAAGGAGCUUGCUCUUUCCGGAUGAGUUGCGAACGGGUGAGUAACGCGUAGGUAACCUGCCUGGUAGCGGGGGAUGACUAUUGGAAACGAUAGCUAAUACCGCAUAACAGUAGAUGUUGCAUGAUAUCUACUUAAAAGGUGCAAUUGCACCACUACCAGAUGGACCUGCGUUGUAUUAGCUAGUUGGUGAGGUAACGGCUCACCAAGGCGACGAUACAUAGCCGACCUGAGAGGGUGAUCGGCCACACUGGGACUGAGACACGGCCCAGACUCCUACGGGAGGCAGCAGUAGGGAAUCUUCGGCAAUGGACGGAAGUCUGACCGAGCAACGCCGCGUGAGUGAAGAAGGUUGUCGGAUCGUAAAGCUCUGUUGUAAGAGAAGAACGAGUGUGAGAGUGGAAAGUUCACACUGUGACGGUAUCUUACCAGAAAGGGACGGCUAACUACGUG